GACCGUGCUAUUUGUCGGCGGCAGGUGUCUCGAGGAUGAAGCUACUAGCUGUCCUUUUUGUCUCCUAGCGCUUUCACCUGCUCCCGGGCCGAGCGGACCAGCCGCUCGGCGCUCAUGGUCUCCGGGAAUGCGCCUACCUUGGCCCGGGCGGUGAAGCCCUGCUCAUGUGCUCGGAUGGAAUUGCGCUUGAUUGUCAUGCGGCUCGGCCAAGCGUUCCGCUCGGCCCAUAGACUCUACUUGAGCAUCGGAAACCCAACCCCUAGUCGGACUGUCUUUCGUCCGGUCCGUGAGACCCCUGGCCGACUGACCGGUCGGCUGGAUGCUCAGUCGGUCUGCUACUCCGUUCGGAACGACCUUGGGGUUGACCUUCCUGACCAUUGACCUCCACGCGUCGUGGACCUCCCGUCAAUGAGGGUCCCCGUCUUUACCACCGGAUCAUAGAUAUUACAAACUGAAAAGGAAGAUUGAUUUCACAUGAUUAGUUCAUAGUUACCUGAUAAUUGGUUACUAAAUGGGUCUUUGCUAAAAAGCUCUAUUGAAUGGAAUUCAAAAUUGUGCUUAUGAAAAACAAGGUAUAGUUAUUAUCCAUCAAACUAAUUUUAAAAUUUUUUAGAGAAAAAUUCCUUAGGCAUAUCAAAUUUAUUGGAAUUAAUUCGCUGAUAAAAAAAAUAUACUCUUCUUCUUUGCAGUCCUGUAUUUCUACUAACAAAUCAUAAUAAGAAGACUGUACCAAAAAUAAUUUAUUACAGACAACUGACAGCUUAGUAAUACAAUAAGUUAACUGCAUAGUUUUUCUUGGUUGUUUUUUCUAGCAGUUCAACAACUGUAUUAUGUUGCACACUCUCUCUUAAGACUCAUUUAACAUACUGAAUUGGGUUCAUUUAAGCACAAUCAGCCAUUCCGUGUGUAUCUUUUGCCCUAUCUUCUGUAGGCAAUUAUUGCUGCAACAUUGUCUUCUGAAACUCUCCUAACAUGUGAGGUAGUGUUAGCAGCAACAGCUUCUGAAGCAGUUGCUCUUGCUAGAGCAGUUUUGGAAGUUGCCAAAGUGGCUGCUUUGAAGAUUGGAAUGAAGUUAUUGUUCAUCCUGAGGCUGAGACAUCGGAAAACAUUCUCAUCAAGCACUUCAUGAAGGAGGAUCUGAAUAAUACUUGACAUUUUGAAUCCUAGAGACAAGCAGGUUAUGCUACUGAGGUUUGGACUGGAAAAUGGGACGAUGAAGGCACUACAAGAGAUAGGAAAGUCAAUGGGUGUGAGUCAAGAGAGAGUUCGACAAAUUAAGCCUUGAGCUUAAAAGCAAGAGGAGAAUGAGGAAUCUGCAGCAGUAUCUGAUAUUGUUAUUCAACACUGAACAUGGUAUUACCGGCAUUGCAGAUGAUGUAGUGCAAGAUAUGCGGCCAGCCGAUAGCCAAUGAGCAUCAACCCCAUGAUGCACACAUCAAUCCACAUAUGACUUAGCCCCACUGAUUUGAUG